rnacentral:rRNA from 1 species
GUGGGGAAUUUUGGACAAUGGGCGCAAGCCUGAUCCAGCAAUGCCGCGUGCAGGAAGAAGGCCUUCGGGUUGUAAACUGCUUUUGUACGGAACGAAAAGGCUCUGGCUAAUACCUGGAGCUCAUGACGGUACCGUAAGAAUAAGCACCGGCUAACUACGUGCCAGCAGCCGCGGUAAUACGUAGGGUGCGAGCGUUAAUCGGAAUUACUGGGCGUAAAGCGUGCGCAGGCGGUGCUGUAAGACAGGCGUGAAAUCCCCGGGCUCAACCUGGGAAUUGCGCUUGUGACUGCAGCGGUGGAGUGCGGCAGAGGGGGAUGGAAUUCCGCGUGUAGCAGUGAAAUGCGUAGAUAUGCGGAGGAACACCGAUGGCGAAGGCAAUCCCCUGGGCCUGCACUGACGCUCAUGCACGAAAGCGUGGGGAGCAAACAGGAUUAGAUACCCGAGUAGUCC